CCUACGGGAGACAGCAGUGAGGAAUAUUGGUCAAUGGGCGCGAGCCUGAACCAGACAAGUCGCGUGAGGGCAGACGGUCCUAUGGAGUGUAAACCUCUUUUGUCGGGGAGCAAAAGACGCCACGCGUGGCGUUCCGAGAGUACCCGAAGAAAAAGCAUCGGCUAACUCCGUGCCAGCAGCCGCGGUAAUACGGAGGAUGCGAGCGUUAUCCGGAUUUAUUGUGUGUAAAGGGUGCGCAGGCGGAAGAUUAAGUCAGCGGUAAAAUUGAGAGGCUCAACCUCUUCGAGCCGUUGAAACUGGUUUUCUUGAGUGAGUGAGAAGUGUGCGGAAUGCGUGGUGUAGCGGUGAAAUGCAUAGAUAUCACGCAGAACUCCGAUUGCGAAGGCAGCAUACCGGCGCUCAACUGACGCUCAUGCACGAAAGUGUGGGUAUCGAACAGGAUUAGAUACCCGAGUAGUC
rnacentral:rRNA from 1 species